rnacentral:rRNA from 1 species
CCUACGGGGUGCAGCAGUGGGGGAUAUUGCACAAUGGGGGGAACCCUGAUGCAGCGACGCCGCGUGGGUGAAGGAGUAUUUCGGUAUGUAAAGCCCUAUCGGCAGGGAAGAAAUUGGACGGUACCUGACUAAGAAGCCCCGGCUAACUACGUGCCAGCAGCCGCGGUAAUACGUAGGGGGCAAGCGUUAUCCGGAUUCACUGGGUGUAAAGGGAGCGUAGACGGCCAUGCAAGCCAGGGGUGAAAGCCCGGGGCCCAACCCCGGGACUGCCCUUGGAACUGCAUGGCUGGAGUGCGGGAGGGGCAGGCGGAAUUCCUGGUGUAGCGGUGAAAUGCGUAGAUAUCAGGAGGAACACCGGCGGCGAAGGCAGCAUACCGGCGCCCAACUGACGCUGAGGCACGAAAGCGUGGGGAUCGAACAGGAUUAGAUACCCGUGUAGUC